rnacentral:misc_RNA from 1 species
AGAGACAGCUGGUCAUUAGAGGAAGUACAAGUCGUAACAAGGUAUCCGUAGGUGAACCUGCGGAUGGAUCAUUACCAAAGGAUAACUUCCAACGUCCUGUGAACUGUUUUGAAUGACAGUCAGCAGUUGCUCACGCGUACUGCUGGCUGUACCUUAAACGUCUUAAACUUAAACUGAAGUCUCUUUAGUAUGAACUAAAGACAACUUUUAGCAAUGGAUCUCUUGGCUCUC